rnacentral:lncRNA from 1 species
CUGGUAGACAGCAUGCUGGUAGGCUACUAAAUAAAUGAGAAAUUAUUUGUUUAUAUUUUUCAGGAUAACAUCCAGCAGUAAGAAAUAUAAAGGUUCACUGCAGUUUUGACUGUGCUCAACAAGUAUUGAACCCAUACUAUGCUUAGCAAGUAGGGCCCUUGUAUUUUAAGCCAACACAUAAAUGCAGAUUCUUUGGAGCUGCUGUGAAUCCUCAUGCAGUACAGUACUGCUGUUGGAAAAGGAGCAAACAGUGUGGUAUCUAUGGUCCACCAUCACUUCAAGCAUCAUGGCUAUGGAGAAAAGAAUGUUUCAUUACAUAUGCACAAUUAUAGUGGACGAAAUAAGAAAAGUUGUAAUAAGCUAUGGAAUGUGGCUUGUUAUGAUGGGUCUACAUGAUGAAUUGGAGUACAACCUGAUGGAGGCAGGGCAUACAGAAUUCAGUUCUGAACAUGUUUAGAAUGUCUUCUGCAUGACCUGGUAUAGUAUUCUUGAAGGAUUAUACUUCAACACAAAGACGGAGACUAAUAUUUUUAGGCAGGGGGUUGGCAUGACAGGCAAAUUCACCAGCCGUUUUACCAUUCCUGAGCUUGAUGCCAGUCGACCGUGGUACCUGUAUAAUGAAAUAGCGCCCCUUCGCCGCAACAGCAAUAUAUGCUCAAAACCUGCAGUGCCAAAGCCAUUAAAAUUGAGAACUCCAGUCAUUUAAAAUGAAGAAUGAAUGGAAAAAAGUGUUUAACAUUUAA